rnacentral:rRNA from 1 species
AACGAACGCUGGCGGCAGGCUUAACACAUGCAAGUCGAACGCGCCGCAAGGGGAGUGGCAGACGGGUGAGUAACGCGUGGGAAUCUACCCAACUCUACGGAAUAACUCAGGGAAACUUGUGCUAAUACCGUAUACGCCCUUCGGGGGAAAGAUUUAUCGGAGUUGGAUGAGCCCGCGUUGGAUUAGCUAGUUGGUGGGGUAAAGGCCUACCAAGGCGACGAUCCAUAGCUGGUCUGAGAGGAUGAUCAGCCACAUUGGGACUGAGACACGGCCCAAACUCCUACGGGAGGCAGCAGUGGGGAAUAUUGGACAAUGGGCGCAAGCCUGAUCCAGCCAUGCCGCGUGAGUGAUGAAGGCCCUAGGGAUGUAAAGCUCUUUCACCGGUGAAGAUAAUGACGGUAACCGGAGAAGAAGCCCCGGCUAACUUCGUGCCAGCCGCCGCAGUAA